UAUCAAGGUCAUGAUUAUGUGUUAAAAGCCCCAUUGAUCCCUGCAUUGUCCCAGGGCUGCAUUGGGACGGGUGGGGAUUUACAUUUACUGCUGCAUAAUGGGUAGAUGUAUCAUCAACCAUCUUUUUGGAUACAGUCAGGAUCGCAAGUUAAUGAUUAUGUGUUUUGUUUUAAAAUUAUGAUUCAAUAGUAAGCUAGGCUUGAUUUCUGCAGCUCUCUGAAAUCUCAUUUCCAAAGGUGACUUCACCAACACAUGAGUGAUUCCAGAAAAUAUCCAUACCUAUAACACAGAUAGCAUUUUGCAAUUCCAAGGGAAAUGGGGGGAGGGGUUUUUGAACUGGAACCCAAAAGCCAUGAGAGAUCUCAGUGAACUGAGAUUUAAUUUUUGUUACCCAAUGGAUACCUUGUGAUGCAGUCUAAUAGGUGGCAAUUAAUUCUAAGUAUAUUCUGAUAAUGUAAGAGUUGAUAUUCUGAAUUUUGGAUUACAAGAAUUUCAGCAGUUACUGACUGCAGCUGCAAUCCAUCCCAAUUUUCUUCAUUUCAUUUUCUAUGUUUUCUUGGAUUUCCAAUAUGACAGUCCAGCAACAAUGCAGUAGAUUUAUAAAAAAUGCUUCUUUCAACAGUUUGUGGAUGAUUCAAGGUGAUGGAACAGUUCACAAAGGAUUGGAAAAAAAAGCCCCUUUAAGUUGUGUUUUAUUGGAUCAGCAGUUUCUGGAUGACUGAUUUCAUUAACAAUGGAACAGCUAACCAAUUAAAGAUUGGAAAGGCAGUUGUCUAUGUCAUCUCUGACUGGCAAAUGUUUUGUGGAUGCAGAUUCAGGAUGAUGGAACAGUUUGCGACAGGUGAACACAGUUUCUCCUCUAGUGUUCCAAAACAUGUUUAUGUCUUUUGAACUGGGAGUCUCAGGGGCAUGUAUCGGUUAAUCUCAUUCACGAUACCUAACAAUUAGACCCGUAGCCCGCAAGGGCUACGGGUCAAUAGCCCAUGAGGCGAAGCCGAAUGGGCUAUUGA